CCGCCCCCAUGGACCGGAACUACCCCGCGGCCGGGUUCGGGGACCCCUUGGGGGCUGGGCCCGGGUGGAGCUACGAGCGCUCGGCCAAGGCCAGCCUCGUGUACGGGGGGUCCCGGGCGCCGCACGCGGAGCCGGAGCUGCUCCCCCGGCAGCCGUACGGAGCCCCCCACCCGCUGCAGGGCUACGGCC